GACGAACCGUGCGAACGUUGUUCGGAAUCACUGGGCUUAAAGGGCUCGUAGGCGGCCAACUAAGUCGGACGUGAAAUCCCUCGGCUUAACCGGGGAACUGCGUCCGAUACUGGAUGGCUAGAGUUCGGGAGAGGGAUGCGGAAUUCCAGGUGUAGCGGUGAAAUGCGUAGAUAUCUGGAGGAACACCGGUGGCGAAGGCGGCAUCCUGGACCGACACUGACGCUGAGGAGCGAAAGCCAGGGGAGCAAACGGG
rnacentral:rRNA from 1 species